rnacentral:rRNA from 1 species
AACGAACGCUGGCGGCAGGCUUAACACAUGCAAGUCGAGCGCCCCGCAAGGGGAGCGGCAGACGGGUGAGUAACGCGUGGGAACGUACCCUUCUCUGCGGAAUAGCUCCGGGAAACUGGAAUUAAUACCGCAUACGCCCUUUGGGGGAAAGAUUUAUCGGGGAAGGAUCGGCCCGCGUUGGAUUAGCUAGUUGGUGGGGUAAAGGCCUACCAAGGCGACGAUCCAUAGCUGGUCUGAGAGGAUGAUCAGCCACAUUGGGACUGAGACACGGCCCAAACUCCUACGGGAGGCAGCAGUGGGGAAUAUUGGACAAUGGGGGCAACCCUGAUCCAGCCAUGCCGCGUGAGUGAUGAAGGCCUUAGGGUUGUAAAGCUCUUUACCAGGGAUGAUAAUGACAGUACCUGGAGAAUAAGCUCCGGCUAACUCCGUGCCAGCAGCCGCAGUAA